rnacentral:lncRNA from 1 species
GCGUCGGCCUCAAUUUCGAUAGUCAGCGUAAGACUAUGUCUAGGACAUGGCAUCGACAUUAUACCCUAUGUUUGAGGCUUAGUGAAUAUCCGAUAGCAUUCCAAAUGGUUCAACAGUGAGAGUUAUAGUUUAAGUUAAACGAGAAAGGUAUAACCAUGUUGUGAGUGGUACAGGUACCUAUUUGAAAUGUAUGAGAUGUGAACUCAAUAGAUGCUAUGUGAAUUGUGUUGGAUAGUGAUAAGUAAGUUGUACUUACGUCUAUUUAUGGUAUUCAUGAAUAAGUUAUGAAAGG